GGGACCAUGGGCUCAGUGGUAGAGCAUGUGGCUUUGCAUGCAGAAGGUUCCAGGUUCAGUCCCUGUUAGCAUCUCCA